rnacentral:lncRNA from 1 species
UAUUGACAAGGUAGCACUAAUUUUUUUGCUGUUUCUGGGAUCUAACUGUCUUACCCAUCUGUGUUCAGCCUGAGCUAAACAAUCCAUGUUCUCAGCAGUCAGUUGAUCCUCUGCAGCCUUAUCUAAUGUCCUGCAACUAUUUCUGACCUUGUCAUGCAGUGGCCAUUGACUUUGUACUGUUCUUUCUCCAGUACCUCUGUUCAAGAGUUUGCAGAUGCCAAAAUGAUGUGAGCCAUUGCAGUUCCAGUAUCUUUUUCCAAAUACUAGAUGAUGUCUUGGCUUCACUUAUUCACAAACUAUGUCUUGUUUUUGUGGACUCUGAUACUGUUGCCACAGGUCUCAUUUUCCGUACGCAGUCUUUCGUAUCUGCCAGAACUAUCCCAGCUCCCUGAGUUUCAGCUUGGGUAGAGUGGCUUCCUUUUCUUCACAGGUUGUAGUUGGGUUAUUCUUUCAUCUGUUAACAAUCUCUCUCUGUUUCUCUCUAGUGACACUAUAAUAUCUUAAUAUUAUCUUAAUAUCUUCUUGACCCUCUCAUAUCACCAUGUAUUUUCAGCUAUCAAUUAGUAAUAGAAUAUUUUCAUCAUUUUAUUUUUCUGUACUGUUUUACACUAUAGUACUCCUUUACAUUUAAUAGCGUGCCUCUACUGCCUGAGUUAACUAAGCUAUAUAAAUCACCUGUGGCUUCAGAGUCAGCUGUUACCUGAAAGGAGACCAUUUUCUUGUUGGCUAGAAAGAAAACCUACUGCUUAAACUUUCUUUAUCUCUACUCUGUCAUUUGGAAGGGCUUUGAUUUUGCGUUCUUCACUCUUAAUGGCAACAUCACUUAAUGCUGGAGCCUGGUUUGCCAGUGAGAGUGUGACUGAUGUGUAUCAGAGCCUCUUCAAGGUUGCUGCACUACUUGCUCAAUUUGACUGUCCUAGCGGCUUGGAAACCUUGUCAGAUGAUUUUCAGCAGGAGUGAUUCCUUCAGUGCUGCCACACCAGUGGAGAUUACAGUUGGAUCUCCUUCCAUACAAGUCACUACAGCGGAGCAGAUCCUUUGGCUGUGUUUCCUGUCAUCAGGUGUCACCCCAGCUAGAUGUCUGCAAGGAAGCGAUAUUCUACCUUUGGAAAAUCUCAUUUCCGAAUACCUUUAGAAAUGUUUGCUUGUAGGCAAUUUUCAAAGACAUAACGUUUGACUUUGCUGAUGCAUGUGACCCCAAAGUUUUGACAAAAUCUUUUCAAAAUUUAUCCAUAUGAAUAGCAAUAUUUUCAUCACUUGAUUCAUUUUUUGGGUGUUAUUCAGGACCAAAUGACAGGUUCAUUGAUCAAUUCUUUUGUCUAUAAACAUAGUUUAAACAUCACUUUUAAAUGGAAAAGAUAGACCAAACAAUCUGAUAAGGAUUCCUGAUUGUGUACACUGCAUGUCUCCUUGUAAUUGCAUAGCUCUGGACUCACUGGUCACAGUACCUUUAUUAUUAAUAACAUAAAUAGACUCUUCAAUCUCUGUUUCUGUAAUUUAUCCACGGGAUUGAAUUCAGCAUGCAGUUUUGUAGGUCUUUUGUCUAUAACCUGUACCUAGAUUGUCCAUGUCUCCUACUCCAAAACCACUGCUUUUUGCUGAAAAAAAAAAAAAAAAUAAAAAACAGUGAAUGUGGAGUGAACA